AAGUAUUGGAUGUGCGGAUACGGCGUAUUUCUCUGUAUGUAAGAACAUGAAUCUAACAUGUUCGCUAUUUUAACAGACUGAAUUGAACUGAAAUAUUUCCCCAAACCAAUAAAACAAAAAUAUAAAUACUUGUUAUCGUUUGCAUAUAUUGUAAGAUUAGGAUGUACUCGAAUGUGUUGUAUAUUAUCAGACACGGUUUAAUAUCGAAAUAGAGUAGUCAGCACGGUCGUAACAAAUUCUAUCUUAUAGUUGUCUAUAUUUGUCAACGAAAAUAUCAUGAAAUGAACCAACACUUCUAGACUUUAC
rnacentral:lncRNA from 1 species